CGGAGGAAGGUGGGGAUGACGUCAAAUCAUCAUGCCCCUUAUGACCUGGGCUACACACGUGCUACAAUGGGCGGUACAAAGGGUCGCGAACCCGCAGGGGGAGCCAAUCCCAAAAAGCCGCUCUCAGUUCGGAUUGCAGGCUGCAACUCGCCUGCAUGAAGCCGGAAUCGCUAGUAAUCGCGGAUCAGCAUGCCGCGGUGAAUACGUUCCCGGGCCUU
rnacentral:rRNA from 1 species